CCCUUAGAUGUCCUGGGCCGCACGCGUGCUACACUGACGCAUACAGCGAGUCACCCCAGCUCCGAGAGGUAGCUGGUAAUCAGCAAUAUGCGUCGUGAUGGGGAUAGAUCUUUGGAAUUUUUGAUCUUGAACGAGGAAUGCCUAGUAAGCGCAAGUCAUCAGCUUGCGUUGAUUAAGUCCCUGCCCUUUGUACACACCGCCCGUCGCACCUACCGAUUGAAUGGUCCGGUGAAAUCUCGGGACGGCGGCUUGGUCGCUUGCGUCCGACUGCUGAAACUUGAUUAAACCAUAUCAUUUAGAGGAAGGUGAAGUCGUAACA
rnacentral:rRNA from 1 species